rnacentral:rRNA from 1 species
GACGAACGCUGGCGGCGUGCUUAACACAUGCAAGUCGAACGGAAAGGCCCCUUUGGGGGUACUCGAGUGGCGAACGGGUGAGUAACACGUGAGUAACCUGCCCUUGACUUCGGGAUAACUUCAGGAAACUGGGGCUAAUACCGGAUAGGAAUCCUUGCUGCAUGGUGGGGGUUGGAAAGCUUCGGCGGUUUUGGAUGGACUCGCGGCUUAUCAGCUUGUUGGUGGGGUAGUGGCUUACCAAGGCUUUGACGGGUAGCCGGCCUGAGAGGGCGACCGGCCACAUUGGGACUGAGAUACGGCCCAGACUCCUACGGGAGGCAGCAGUGGGGAAUAUUGCACAAUGGGCGGAAGCCCGAUGCAGCAACGCCGCGUGCGGGAUGACGGCCUUCGGGUUGUAAACCGCUUUCAGCAGGGGCGAAGCUUGUGGUGACGGUACCUGCAGAAGAAGCACCGGCUAACUACGUG